AGAGGGACAAAAUUGAUGGCAGAGAGGCCAGUUAGGAGACCAUUGUUCUAGGGGAGCAAAAAUGAAGACCUGCACUUGGCCGUAGAAGGAAGGCAAGCUUCAAAAAAUGUUUAGAAGAUUGACAGAACUUGAUCAUUGAUCGAAUGUUGGGAAAGUGAGGGAUAGGAAAGAUUCAGUUUCUAACGUGGCUGAUCAGGAGGAUUGGAUCAGGUUUCCCCUCUCUACAUACAUAAUUACAGUUAUCUCUAUUGACUCAAGAAUUGAAGGCCGAUUUUAAAUUAUUCUAAAGAAAACCUAAUGAUGAAGACCUUCAGCAUUUUUAUAAUAGCCAAAAAGUGGAAGCAAUCCAAAUGUUCAUCACCUG